CUGCUUCCACCGUUUCUACAAUCUUAAUUGUAAACCCCACUACCUUCAAAUACCCAUGUUACACCACUUUCACGGCACUAUAACCAGCACACACACAACUCUUUAUCUGUACAGCAAAAUCACAUAAAUAACUAGACAUUAAUAAUCUAAGCAUGCUCAUAUAUAGAAAUAGAGCCAAAGAUCCGAUUCAAAAAGGUGAGAAUUCUAAUAUAUUACAUAUAUGCUACCAUGUUCGAUUUUUAGAAAAUGUCGGACAACAGACAUCAAGCCCAAAAUAUUCCAAAUAAAUAUUUUUACCUAAACUAGAUUAUAUUAAUUUGAUAAAAUAAGAGACCCCAGAAUUAGUCAAAAUAAUGCAACAUAAAUGAAGCAUUUCUACAGUCUUAUUUUGUAUUCAUCCAACAAUCAGAAAAAGCUUUCACUAAUAUGAAAAACGCAUUUGACAAAGCUAAAGAAACCCAGAAUAAAAACGCCUAAUAAAGAGGAAAUUCAUGUGAAAAACCUUGAUUUUUUAGAAACUGGGCUAGAAACUGACAUGCUUGCCUAAAACGGAUGAGCACUUUUAGAGAUAGAGAAAGACAGCGAAGUUAGAGAUCCAUCACAAUCCAUUGUUUAGAUAUUUUUACGCGUGCAGUUGAAGGAAACCACUAGCUUCAAAAUACCAUAAAGAGACAUACAAAGGUGUCGUAUAAAUACUUGUUGAGAUGAGCAUAUAAUUAGUCAUCGGUUGUUUCUCUCAUCGAUUCAACCUGCUCUUAGAGCCCUUACUCGUUCGUGAAUGAAAAUUGGUCGUAUAGGUAUCAAAUCCCCAAAACUUAUUUAGCCCUUGUAUAACUAUAAUUGGUGAUAUACAUUACACUCACAUGAAACUGACCUUGCUUUGAAUCCAUUAUGUACGAGUCUGCGAAUUAUUGUUAAUGAUAGAUUAUGCUUGCACACUCACUGUGUAAAAUCAAUAUUUGUUGGAUUAAAAGUUUCUACUCUUGAAUAAAAAUCAAUACUUGUUAAAUUGCUAUUUCUGCUGUUGUAAAAUUUAACUUGCAAAAUUUUUUAGCUAACGUGAGAAACAUGUUAGUUCCUAAACAUGUCAAAUUAUUGCGGUACUAUAUCUUCUGUCUUUAAGCUGCUGUCAUUCACAAAUGUAGAGUUCUGGAGUAUAUAGAGCCAAAAGAUUAGUUGAGGGUGAUUUUGAUACAGCUUCUUGUGAAAUUGCUGAUAUAACUUUCCAUCAAGACCCAUUGCACACACAAGAUGCCAAAAGACAAAAAAAAAAAAAACAAGAUUAUGGGUUGUCUAAAUCAGUUGGUGAAGGAUUAGCGUCUCCUUUUGACAACACAGCAGUUUCCAACAUUAAUAUGCACCGAACAUAGACAUAAUUGCUUGCUCCUUCUGCCAUUCUUCUAAGCAGAUAGAAGUAAGUUUCAACAUAAAUAAUGUCUCUUAUAUUUUCAUCGUUAUGCAAGUCUUAUGCCAUCAACUUUCUGUUGUUGCCAUAAAAAAAUUGUGGAUUAGAGGUAAAAUAUAUCUCUACAUGUUUGAAUAAGUCUUUGUUUCUUUGAACUAAUUUAUUUUUUCCUAAAUAUUGUAGUAGACAGGACCAAUGCUUUACUAUGCCAAGGGAAAGGAAGUAGUAGGAGAUGUUGCUGCUCUAUUAUGCACUCUUCAUCUGUUGAUAUCAAAUCCUAAUCCCGAUUUCUUUGAGCUUUAUACAUCAAAAAACAAACAUGCAGGAAGAUUUUCUAAUGCUCUGUCCAACUCACAACUCUGCUAAAUUCCCAAGAGAAAAAUCCAUGUAUGUUCUCACAUGGUAGAAAUACAACUUAAAUUCUAACACUAAUUCUAUCAGCAGCUCCACCUCCAUGCAGGACCCAAUUUCUCUCUCCCUAUAAUCAUCAUAGAAGACAACCAAUUUCCACACAUUCAUCAAAAUUGCACUGCCUAAACAGCUUUACAAUUUUGUCCCAAACCUUUUUAUUUGCAGCUCGUAUCCUGUGAUUUAGAUUAUCACUGGAAUAAUGUGCGUUUGAUAAAUAAUUACUCAUACAUCACAGAAACAGAAUUGGGGGUGAUUACAAAUGAGAAAAAUUCUGGAAUUCGUGUUCCAUUCCGCAUCCAAUCACAUGGAAUCUCAAAAUCAAGAAAAACAAAAACAAAAUUGGAAUCUGCAACUUGAAAUAAUGAGGACCCAUGAAAAAACGAACCCUAACAAUUUUUAAACAAAGAGAAUCGACAAAACUGAAACAUCAAGAAUAUGGUGGGUUGAUUGUUAAACUAACCUCAAUCUAUGCAGUCAUCGCCUCGUUGCCAACCUUUCGCAGUGAUUUCCCCAGAGGCAAAUCGUCGAUUUCUUCUUCCUGGUUCGGUUGAAUCGAUGAGAGAGUGAGACGCCUUCCUAGUUCCUUUCAAUCGAUGAGAGCAGGUUGAAUUGAUGAGAGAGACGGUACGUGGGUAGAGAUGAGAGAGAGAGAGAUAUUCACGUGGGUUGGUUACUAGAAUUUUUGGAAGGGUUAAAUUCCACCUUACCCCAAGGAAAAUAUUUUCCUUGUUUUCAAGGAAAAUGUGGUCACGUGACCAAAAUACGGAAAAUAUUUUUCUUGGAAAAAAUUGUCAAUCAAACAAGACAAAAGUAAGAAAUUAGGUGGAAAAACCCGUUUUCCAUAGAAAAUGUGUGCAAUCAAAUGCACCCUAAGAUUUCAAAGUCAUAAGUUUAUUUUGACAACUCAAAUUUAAACUCAUUUAGCCACGUUUUCUCUCUCAAACUAUUAUAUCUAUAUAUAAAUUUAUUUUGCCCUUUUUUCCAUAAAUUAAAGAACCUUUAAAUCUAAAAAUUCUUUGAAGAAAUAUACGCUGCAUUUUAUUUCCUUGGACACGAAAGGAUAUUCAAACUCCAAAUAUUAAGGUAUGGGUGUUUCGGCACUUCUGUAAGUGAUAUAAAAAUUAUUUAUUUUGGUUUUGCAUUAAACGUGUUAUUGUAUUACUCAUGAAGUAAACGAUUGAAGGUUACACUAAUAACCAAAGUUUGUAUUUGUGUUGUUGUGUUACUAAUGAAGGAAGCACCGUUUGGUGUUUCAAAUAAAAGAAAGAGAUUGCGGUGACACCAAUGACCAACGUUUGCAUUUCUGAAAAUAUAUAUAUUUUUACCAUUUAUUUCAAUGCCUUCCUACUGAGUAUUAUUUGUGGUAUUCAUCCCUAUUAAAAUAUUACAGGUUGAUUCGAGGCAUGGUCGUGGUUUGGCAAAGUGGCAAGUACUCGGUGACUUAAAAAGCUGCAACUUUCUAGUAAAAUUUCUAGUAUGUGUAAAUGUGUUUUGAAUACUGAGAUGACACCUUUAAAAUUGUUUAGAUAUCUUUUUCAUCUAGUUUUAUAUGCAUUGUAUGUCGACUAUAAUUUAUAAAUGUUGUAUUUGUCUAUGCAUAAAGUUUAAGUAUUGCUGUAAUGAAAUUUUAGAUUAUGCCCUUCUACUCAAAGUAGCAUAACUAAGGCUAUAGCAUAUAUUUUAGAGUGAAGUCAGUGAUAUUUGAAAGUUUUACGAGUCUUAUAAUAAUGGCCUUUGGAAUUACCCAAAAAUAUUAACUAGAGAAAAAGUUAUGCUCGUUUUAGUAAACUGUGUUAGGUUAGAUCCAAAUUUUUUGUCCAGCAUGGUCAAACAAUAUUUUCAUACUUCAAACAUUAUCGUCAAGAUCCCUAACUUUUAUAUGUUGUACAAAUAUGAAUGUUUUAGUCUCUGUUAAAAUUUCAUAAUUUUUAGUCGUCGUGCUAGACCAAACAUAUUUUUCUUUCCACUACUGUGCAAUUGGUAAUUGCUGAAUUUUUCUCAAAUGUUUUCCAAAAAUCAAAUUUUACCAAACUUGUCUAAGUUUACAUUGACAAAUGUCUCAUUAUUUCUCAUAUAUUUCAAACUCCAAAUUUUUUCUUAUUUACAAUUUUUUGGUUAACAUCAAAGGAGUCAAACCAAAGAAAGAUUGAUUUUUUUUAAGCUUUGAGUUCUGAGAGUUUGGGGCGUUACACAAUCGCUCUACGUGACAUAUAUGUAGCAGUUAAUGAUUUAUUACGUAAAGUAAUAAAAAUUAUUACAUUAAUGUAUCAAAUCACAAGCUGUCAUAUGUAUGUCUUGUAGGAUGAAUACGGUAGUAAACGACUGUGAAUAAUAUUAACAUCAUAUAUGAUUCUUUCUUCUAUAGCCUUAAACUCUGCAUGGACGCUUUCACGCACUUAAUAUUAGAGUGUAUUUGAUUGGUAUGGAAAAUAUCACAUAGAAAGUAAAAUAUUUUCCUUCUUUGGUGAAAAACAAAAACCACAUCCACUCAAAAAAAAAAUGUUUUCCAUAAAAACAAUGAAAAUUAGGGUCUGUUUGAUUGUAAAGAUGGAAUUGAAUUGUUUAGAAAAUGAAUUUCAAGGAAUUGAAUUGUCUUUCAUGAGAAUUGUAAAUUAUUGUGUUUGAUUGGUAUAAUUUUUCACGUGAAAAAUGUUGAAAUAAAAGUGUUUAUUGGUGUUCGUUUGAUUUUGUUUUACAUAAAAAUUGUCAAUUAAAGGGAUAUAUUUUACUGGUAUUGGAGAUUAAAUUUGAUUCCAUUGCCAACAUAAAAAACAAACAAACAAACAAACAAAACAAAACAAAACAAAACAAAAAUUUUAAGAAAAUCAUUUAUCUUUCGGUAUUCGUUUGACUUUGUUUUAAAUGAAAAUUGUCAUUUAAAUGGAAAUAUUUUUAUACAAUAAUUCUUAAAAUUUGUUUUCAUUGCAAAAAAAUGAAAAAAAAAAUGCUGCAGUAGGUAGAAAAACCAAUUUCCUAGCAUAUACGAUGUGAAUUGGUUUUCCUUAAAAACCAAGAAAAGUGCAAACUUCAAGACAACCAAGAAUUAGAAUUCCAUGGGAAAAAAAAAAUGUAUCAAACGUCUGAAGUUGGAAAAUACAAUUCUAAUUCCAUUUCAACCCUAUCAAACACACCCUACGGCAUAUUUUCAAAAGUUGAAAAAUGUUUUCCCUAAAAAAAAAUAGCUAUCAAACACUCCAAAUAAGAAUUUGGUUAGAACAUUGAUAUUUUUCAUAAAAAAUAAAUGUGAUUAAUCAAACCCAUUCUUAAAAUAAAUAUAUAGUUGUGACCUCGAAAUUCUGAGACAUGAGAUUUCAACCACCAACAUCCCAUCCGUAGGUUAUUAGCACUCCUUUCAAGAAUAUUAUCGUGUCUCUCAUUUUCAACUCCUUCCAACUUGAAAACCCAAGACUAGUUUUUGGAAAACCCUACCCAAGCUCAAUUAAUUUUGUUAAGGGAAAAAAUUACGAUUUUUUUUUUUAAUGCAUUAGCCCGUAUAAUUUGAUUUUAUUUUUUGGGAACCCCAGGCUUUGCCCUUGAGUGAGUAUAUUCGUUCAAGAAGAGGUCCAGAAGAUGUUGACUUUGAUACAUGUACAUCAAAUUUUAUACAAUGAGUUACAUAAUUUCACACGUCACUUUAUCAUUUGUUAAUUUAAUAUACAAUCAAAUUUUCAUCCAAUUUUUUUCCUCUAACAUCAUUUUAUUAACUUGUUAUGUACUAUAUUUAUGUACAAAUAGUAUAAUCUGAAUUUAAAUUAAUCUAUCUCAUGUUGUUUUUCAAAUUUGAUAAUUGGACAUAUCCUCGAACCCAUCAAUAUUGUUAAUUGGAUCGGCCCAUAAUGUCAAUUUUUAUUUCUAAAAAUUUAAGACUUGUUACGUUUGUGUUUCAAUUUUUCAAUUUUGGGUUCUGAAUUCAUUUUAAAUUUUCUAGAUUGAGAGUCUAUUUUAAGAUUACUAAAAAUAUGUUUGAUUUGUUAUUUUGAAAAAUUAUUUCUCAAAAUAAAAAAUUAGAAAAUAUGUUUAGUUCGAAAUUUUGAAAAAUUAUUAUUUGUUAGAAUUUUAUAUUUUAAUUUUUUAAAAUUUUUGAAAAGUUAUUUCAACGAUUGUUUUCCAUGUUAAACGAUCGUUUUGAAUUUUAUGUAAUAAAUCUAUCCUUAUUUUUGAAAUUUUAUUUAAAUGAUCAUUUUAAAUUUUAUGUUAUAAGUUUAUCCUUAUUUUUGAAAAUGCAUUUUUAGAAAUAUUUGACCAAACACAUUUUCAGCGUUUUGCAAAAUUGAAAAUUGAAAACAAUAUAAAAACAUCAAACCAAAUGCACCAUUAAAUUCUACAUGGUACAUAUUUCUAAAAAAUUAUUUUUUUCAAACUUAUUUUUAACUUGAUAUUCUUCCAAUAAAAUAAUUCAUAUGGAUCCAUAAUUUAUUUCUAAACUUUAACCACAUAUUUUUUUAUGAAUAUCUCUAAUUAUAGAAUUUAUUGAAAAGAAUUGCUUUAAACACAACCUUUGCCCUGGUUUAAAAUUUUGAUGAAAAGAUAGGCAGGGGUUAACAAUUAAUUUUAAUCUACAACUUUUAUCAAAUUUUUAAUAACAUAUUUUAUUAAUUGUUGUCAAAAUCUAAUAAAAAUCUAAUUUUCACAAUAAAUGAAUUAAGCACGUGGACAAGCUCCUAGAAUUAGAUGCUAAAAUUUUUGAAUUUUUAAAUUUAAAUUAUUUGUCACAAUAUAAUUCUCUACCACACAUUCACACAAUAAAAUAUUCAAUACAUAAACCAAUAAAGUUUCAUUACUUUUUAACCAUACUUUCUCUAAAAAUCCUAUUCAAAACUAUUUAAUUUUUCAAAUAAAGGGAGUCAAAUAGGGCCUAAGUCCCAUCAGUAUCUUGUCUACCAAAGUAAUGUUUGCUUUAAAUAAAUAACAUUUAUAAAAAAUAUGUGCAAUGAUUUUUCAGAAAUUACAUCCUAUUUGCUUCAAUUUCAACAUCGACGGAGGGGUUAUUCUAGGAGUAAUGUUAUUUAUAAUCGCUCAAUGCGGUAGCUAUCCUACAUGACAUUUUAUAUGGCUGUUUGUAAUUUGAUAUAUUAAUGUGAUAAUUUUUUCUUGUAUUGUAUAGCAAAUCACUAACCCUCACAUGUGUAUUACGUAGGACGACUGUGAUAAUAAGUGACUGUAAGUAACAUUAUUCUUAUUCUAGAGCUCAAUCAUGGUUUUUGUACCACUUUGCGUGUGGAUUUCAUUUUAUACAUAUUUGGUUAACAACAUUAAAUAGGAUUAGACAAUAUAAUAUAUAAAAUUUUAUUAUCAAUUUCUUCUCUACUAAAAUGUAAUAAUCUAAUGACUCGUCUAUGUGACGUUGAGAUCCAUCACUUUCAAUUGAUUAAAAAUUGUAAUUUCAUUAUAAUAUUUGAUUAAAAUUUUUAUACAUAUUUAAUAAAAGUUGAUAAAAAUUGCAAGGAAUCACACAUUUUACAUUUUAUCAACUUUUACCAAAAUCUACACUUAACAUGGCUUUAGUUAGGUUCUCAAUUGUUAUCUUUGUAAUUUAAUAUUAUUCAAUACGUAAAUUUAAUGUUAGACUCAUGCAUAUCAACCUUUUACAUGACGAGAUCACGGGUUCAAAAAUUACAACCUUCGAAUUUGAAGUUCUUGUUCCUCUGCCUAUAUAAAUAUGUGAAUUUGGGUCCACAAUGAUCGAAACUAUCAAUGUAAAAGUUCAUGCAAAGUUGAAUGAAAUCAUUCAUAUCCAAUUUAACUGAAAUUCGUGUAUAAUUUGAAUGUCUACAUUAUAUUUAAUAGAUUGUGACUCAUAAUCAUACUAAGCUUUCCAUUCAAAAAUGAAUAUUUUCAUGAUGAAUUUCUCAAAAUUUUAUAACAAAUACAACACUAUGGUUUCAAUGGGACCUAUUUGAGUCUCAUUUUUUGAAAGGAUUGUGCUACAGAGCCCGAGUUUAAAUCUCGGGCUCCAAUCCAGUUGAUCGUCUACACUUGGGGGCCCGUCAUCACAAUCGGGAGCAGAGGUGGCAGGGUUUUCAACAUUUUUCUUUUUGAAAAUACAAGUUUUGAAAUAGAGUUAAAAAAAAAUAAAAAUAAAUAAAUAACAAUUUGUGGUUGUGGUUAAAAAGUAAUUAAGAGUGUGGAAUUCAAAAUAAAUUCGAGAAAAAAUGAUUUUUAGAGAAUGAGAUUGAAAAUAUAUUGAAGAAAUAUGAGGCGCUUUCGUUGAACACGACUGCCCAAGUACAUGGAAUUUGGGGAGUUGUGGUCGACCUUGGACCCCAUUUCUUUUCUCAAACUCCAUUUUGCUUUUUCUUUCUUUAUUUCCAUUUUGCAAGAUAGGUUUGUGUAUGGCCCAAUUUUUGGGUCCGUUUUAGUUGUUAUCGCCCUGAUUGUUUUGGGCCCCAGUUUAUUAUUUGUGGAAAUUACACGCAUUACCUUAAUUAAAUUCAUAAUACCAUUGUUACUUUCCCUUAUUUUUUAUUUCAGAAAAUACUAUCUUUUAAAAUUAAAAAUGCAAAGUCAUAAAUCAAAUCCAAUACCAUAUUUCACGCUCAAAAUUUUGGAAACUUUUUCACUACCCAAAUCCUUCCAUUCUUAGAGUUAAUUUCUGGCACAAUUCUAGUCCAAAUUAAAAUACAUUUCUGUUUUAUCUUCCUCAUUCCAACUUUCAUACUUGUUUCGCGCGAGUUAGUCGCUAACAAUUAAAAAGGAUCAGACGAUUGUGUAAGGGACGAAACCUCUUGAGACAAAGUCCCUAAAAGGGGUGUUCUUUUAUUGAUGAUAAACUUUACAAUUGGAAAAGAAAGACAACGUGCCUCCAAGGGGCGCAAGCACACGAGUUACUGAAAGAAAAGUGCUUAAAUCUAAAAACUAAGGAAAUGAAAAUUACAUGUUUUCUAUUCGAGAGUUUUGGAUUCGGUCCUUUGCUUCUAUGUCCUUUCUCCCUUUUAUACUUCAUAGACGAUCUCUUUGUGAUCAACUCCUAUAAAAACUGUUUGAUCGUCCUAUAACUACCCACUUUCUUCGUAAUGGCCACCUUGUUAUGAAAACUGCCUUUUAACUGCUGUCAUUACCCUUCAUCGUUCAACCACUUUCGAUUGAAUUCUUUGAAUUGUGGAACGUGAUAGGGCUGCUUUAAUAACUGCUUUGAUAACUGCACUUCUUGAUAACCACGACGCGUUAUGUUUGUUAAUACCUUGGGCGACUUGAAGGUUUGGGCGAGAAUAGAGUAACAAUUCUGGGCGACCGUAUGACACUCUAUUCAUUCAGAUUUUGGGCGACUUGCAAACUUGGGCGAUGGCGUUAUCGCAUUCUUGGGCCUCCUUAUUUGGGCCUUCAUCUUGAUUUGUUCGAUUGGGCUUCGUUCUUUGGGCUAUCUGAUUUGGGGAUCCUCCAAUUGGGCUUCACUACUUGAGCUGUUCGAUUUGGGCUGAAUUUUUAUGUGUCAACAAUUACCCCCCAAUAUGGCAGAAUUAAUAAUAAUUAUUGAAUUUUGCCAUAUUCACUUUGUGUUUCCAGCAACAUUCGAAAUUUCCAAUAAUUUCAAUCAUUGUUUCCUUCUAUAACUUGAAAAAGUGCGUCGUUUUGCAAACCCUUAUAAACCCCAGACACGCCAUUUCACUGCUACCAAACCACGCCUCAUAUUUUUUGCGUCUCUUUCAAGAUUCACUGUUCAUCUUUUGCUUUCUUGCUACGUAACCCUGAAAAGCUUCGUUCCUUCUCCAAUGGCUGCUUCACAAUCUCAAGCUAGCGAUUCCUUUAGUUUUGAUGACUUUCAGAGACUUUUGAGUCGCCCAUACAUAACCCCAAGUUUUCUCGCGCCCGCCGACGUUGGACGUAAUGAGUUUUACUUGGGUCCUUUCUUCAACAAUGCGGAGGCAGUUGAACAGGCGGCGGUGGGUCAGCUGUUUCCUUGCACUCAUGGCCCUCCUUUUCUAAACUCUCUGCCGUUGGGGCCACUUCGCGAAAGAGGUAUUCGCACUUGGCCUAAAUCUGAUGUAGCUUUUCGUAAGUGGCAUACUCGCCUUGUGGGUCAUGGUCCUACUAAUGCACUUUUUGAUAGCGCUAGGAUUUCUGAUUAGUUGGAAUUUGGAAAUCUCUGUCCGCCCCCCUACUUUCGAUUCAGCACUCUUUUCAAUUGCUUUGAGUUUUUGAUCUUCUGAGUAUAACACUUUUAUUUUCCCUCUUGGCCCCAUGUCUAUUACCUUAAGGGAUGUUGGGGCCCUAGUGAAUCUGCCACCUUUGGGUGAUACCAUUUUUCCUGAUAUCUUAGUUUUUGGUGGCGCCCCAAAGUUUGGUAGAAACUACACCGAUUCUUAUUCAAGCCUGCAGACCCUCCACAAUCAUUUGAGUGCUGAGCCUACCCAUACUGAGCGAGUGGCCUUCCUUUUAGUUUGGCUUUGUAAAAAUGUUUUGUGCGUGCCAAGUAUAAAGCCUUCUCUGAGUUAUUUACCUAUAGCGCACGAAUUGGCGCGUGACAGGCCUUUGAAUUUAUGUUCUUUAUUUUUGGCUGCCCUUUAUAGAGGCAUGGCCUCUCUUCAAGCUCAAUUGAAGAAUGGUGCAUCUCUCACUGGCAGUGAACCUCUUUGGUUCACUCAACUGUGGUUGAGAUCCUAUUUUCCAUCGUUGGGUGCUCCAUCCAUUUCUCGCCCUUCUGCUAGCUGUUAUGGGCUAGCCAUGGAGCCCUUAACUCCUGUAAAUAUGUCCAGAAGGGACCUUUUUUCAUUCUUUUAUUCUUUGGAUUCAAUCCCUUCCUUUUUUCCUUUUCCUCCUUUUUUGAUUCCAAACUAUGUACAUCCCCCUUCCACUAUAGAUAACGCGAGCACUUCCCUGCUCACUUGGAUCCAGUUUUUAACUGGGAGGGAGUUAUUUCAUGAUAUUCUAACUGGGACCAAUGCCAAAGCGGGGGUAGAGAUUUAUGCUCCCCAAUUUUUUGCUCGUCAGUUUGGUUUUGGCCAAACCUGGCCUGUUCCUCCUUGCUAUUCAAGGAACUUAGUUGACCAUUUUCAUACCAUUACUAAGGCGGAGGCAGAGGCUAUAGAUACUCGUAAUCUUCUUUUAACCAGUCAUUUUUCAUUGGCCCCCUUCAAUUCUAGCCACGCCAUUCACCCUCUUUUUGAACAACUCUAGCCGUCGGUGAAGCGCAGAUUAUUUGCGACUGAUGCCAAUCGUGCCUUUCAUUCAUUAGACCAACCGAGCAUUUCUUCUCCUCCUCCUGUUUUGGUCACUCCUUUGUCUGUUCGGAGCCCCUCUCCUUCUCGUCGCACUAAACAGUCUGCUCGUCCAUCUUCUUCUCUCCCUGCCAAGCCUACUACUGCCAAGAGUGCUCCAAGCCGCAAACGGCCAGCCUCAGCAUCUCCCAUUCUGGAGGAUGAUGUUGAUGAUGAUGAUGAUGCCCCUCUUAUCGUCAGGAGGAAGGUAAUUAAAUUGGUUUACUUACAAGUAUACUUUUUCACAUUUGAAACUUUUGUGUGUGCUGAUGAUCUUUUGGACUUUUCAGAAAAGUUCAGCCUCUCCUUCAAAGGCUUUGGCAUCGACAACUCCUGCUCCAUCAUCCUCUGCUGAGGCUACUUCAUCCAAACCGGUUGAUGAGGGGACUACGCUUAAAGAUACAUUUUCAGUCCCAGAGUCUUCAUUACAACCCAUGGAUGAGCCACCUUCUUCCCAGGGCGUCGACCCCCCAAACAUCGAAGCAGAAGGUAAUUCAAUUUUUCGAUGUCUUACCUUUGCUAGUGCUGUUGGUUUCUGACUUGUUGCUCUUGACUUUUGCAGAUACUCCUAUGAGUCCACCCGUUGUGGCAACAUCUUCUCGCUCAGACAAGGGGAAGUCCUCACGAAUGGAGGAGUCGUUAGUGGCAGACUUGGUUGAGGGCAUGCCAUCUUCCACGAUCGUUGAUGAGGUAGUCUUUGCUUCACUUCUAUUUCUAUUUUGUUCGUUAUGGUGAGCAUCUUUAACAUUGGCAAUUUUCUUUGCAGGAUGCUGACAGGAUUGUGUGUUCUAUCCAAGACUUGUUCGCUACCUGGGGGCAAGUCCAAAUGUCUCGCCCUGCUCCAUCUGAUGUUCCUGUUGCUUCUUUAGAGGAAGAUUUGAAGUUCCUAAAGGAGUCGAUAUUUGAGUACGUAUCCUUCAUGGAUAUGGAUAUUGGAAGGGCUAGUGCUGCCAGACACAAGGAUGAACUUGAGCACUUGAGUGCGAAGUUGGGGCAAGCACUGACGCUUCCGUCGCUCAAUCUUUCUGUCGAUUUUAAAGCGACGUUGAAGGUUAUCCACUCCGAGGUCCUUUCUAUGCUGGCCAAAAAUGCUGAACUAAAGGCCAAGCGUACUCAAUAUCUUCGAGCCGUAGCUGAGAAAUAGUCUUUGCGUAUGGAGAUUAACAAGGCUGAGGACGAGUUGAAAGAAAUCUCUUCCGAAAUCAUGAUUGAAGACUCUUUGAUGGUUAACUUGGCUGCUCAGAUGAGGGAACUUCAAGCUAAAAUGGACGACUGCAGGGCGAGAAUGGCUGCUAAAAAGCGCAACGCCUCCCAGGGAAUUGAGCGAACUAAGUCCUUGGUCGAGCAGUACAAGAAGUUAGAAGUUGAUGAUGAUGUCGCGGCUGAAUUGAACAUCACUUCCUCUCAGCAGAAUGAGGAUUGGGAAAAACUUAGGGAAUGAAUUCGUUCCAUAUGGGGUAGACUGUAAUUAAGACAUAUGAUGUCUUUUUCUUUUGUAAUUCGAUUUUUCCCUUUGUAACUUUGUUCAUCAUUAAUGAACAUUAACUUCUUGUGCAUUUAUUUGACGUUUAUUUUUUAGUCAUCAAUUCUUUAAGCACUUAACUGCUUUGCACUAAGAAUCUUGUCCAUUUCUUUUUGAUAUUUCCACCACUUUUCCCAAGACUUUGGGCUAUUUAAUUUCGUUUAUUAGAUAGAAAUGUGGCUGUUCAUAUUCUGUCUCUUUAUCUUCACCCCUAUAAAUGCUUCGCAUUUUUCAUCUUCUAUCUUCAUCUCUUCAUUUUCUUCUUCGAAAUCAAUUUGCUGCCAUUUCUCGGCAUUCUGACGAUCAAUCUGAUUCAAAAUGGACUGUUUAGUCCGCCCACCUUACUAUUUACCUUGAUGUCACCUUUGGUAUGGGAGGUAUAGGAAAUAUUUUCUGGCCAGCAGCGAAGUUCUUUCCUGCAAAAUUCUUCCCAUCGUCUCUUUAUUCUUCACAAGGAGUCAAAGAUGGAAGACAAUUUUUGGGCUGCUUGUGGGCCACUUUGCUUGCUGAGAGUGCUUCUCAGCUUGCCUGCUGAGAGUGCUUCUCAGCCUCUUUGCUCGCCAUUGCAGCGAUGCAUUUAGGAAGGUGGUGAGGCCAGUACACCCUCUUACUCGACAAUCCCACCAUUGCAGCAAUGCAUUUAGAAAGGCGGUGUGAAGCUUACUCAGCGAUCAACCGGGAGAUUAUCUUACUUUAGUUGUAUUUUGUAGCACAUCCAUUAUUUGUAUCUUUUGUAUUCUUGUAAUGAACGUUUGAUAAUAAAGAACUUUAUUCGAACGUAUUUCGCUCUGACCUUAUUAUCUUUUGAUCGUUCAAAAUGUUUGGUUAUGUUUUUAUCUGUUCAUAUUUCCAUAAAGAAGGAACAUAAUUUUUCAAAUAUUUGCCGUUAAUGAAUUUUACGUGCUUGGUGCCGUCUAAAUCUUCCAAGUGGUACGCUCCAUUGGCCAACACACUGUUUAUUUUGUAUAGUCCUUCCCAAUUGGGCGACCACUUCCCGUACUUUGGAUCCUUGGUAUCCAAAGGGAGUAUCGUCUUCCAAACUAGUUCAUCCAGGCUGAACGACUUGACUAUGACUUUUUUAUUAUAAAACUUAGCCAUUCUUUGCUUUUGAACUUGCAACCUAUCUAAGACGUCCAACUUCAAUUCGUCUAAACUCAAUAAAUUUUGAACUAGUGAUUCGGCAUACUCAUCAUCAUUCAACUUAUGUUGCAAGCAUGCUCGAAUCGAUUGCACGUUGAUUUCCAUAGGCAAAAUGGCCUCCUGUCCAUAAACAAGUUGGAAAGGAGUAACUUUGGUACUUGACCGAGGUGAUGUUCUAUAAGCCCAUAAGGCCUUGUUCAAACAUUCGUGCCAAUUUCUGGCGUUUUCAUCUAUCAUCUUUCUGAUGAUAUUUUUUAGAAUCUUAUUAGAAGAUUCCGCUUGUCCGUUGGAUUGAGCGUAGUAUGGUGUGGAGUUUACUAAUUUAACUCCAAAUUCGCUCAAAAAUUUGUUCACUUGAUCCCCAUUCAAAGAUGUUCUGUGAUCUACCAUUAAAGUUUGUGGAAUUCCAAACCUAUAAGGGUGAUCUCUUUCAAAGGUACCGCCUCUACCCAUUUGGUGAAAUAGUCGGUUGCAACUAUAACAAAAGUAUGUUGCUUGGACGAUGGAGGGUAGAUCUUCCCUAUCAGAUCUAUCGCCCAAUCUUUGAACGGCCAAGGUUUAAUAAUAGGUGUCAUCUCUCGUGCUGGCGCCCUUUGUAUUGGACCAUGCUUUUGGCAUGCUAAACAACUUUUUACAUACUGAACGCAUAGAUCUCCCAUCUUUGACCAAAAAUAUCCACUCCUAAUAAUUAACCAUCUCAUCCUUUGGCCAGCUGAGCUCCACAUAUCCCUUCGUGUACUUCAGCCAUGAUCGUCUUGGCUUCUUGCAAACUUACACACUUUAGUAAUACACCAUCAGAGCGUUUCUUAAACAACUCUUCAUCUAUUAGUGUGUAAUUCAGCAAACAUAGCUUUGUUUUCCUACUAAUCCCUCCAUUAGGUUCUUUAAGGAAUCCUUUAAUCUCUGUUCUCCAAUCCACUGCAUCUCCAUCUUGUAUGCAGUGAAGUUCAAUUUUUCUCGCCCUUCUUUGAGUUACGGGCAAUAUGAUUCCAUACUCACAAGUAGAUUUCCAAUUCAAGACCUUUGAGUACCCUGAAGCCAUUUGGACUAACUCAUUUGCCACGUCGUUAUAUAUCCUAUUAACGCAUUGAAGUUCUACUUGAUCGAAUUCUUCUAAUAAUUCUUGGGCGAUCUCAUAUUGACUUAUAAUGGAAUCACUUUGGCAUUUAAAAUCACCGAUCAAUUGAUGUAUCACCAAUUGAGAAUCGCCCCUAACGAUCACAUUUCUUACUCCCAUAUCUAUCAUUAGCUCUAAGCCUACAAUUAAGGCUUCAUAUUCGGCCUGAUUGUUGGUACACAUUCUGUCUAAAGUGAAUGCAAACUUGUAGCAAAUCCCUAAAGGAUUAAUCAAUGCUACUCCUACUCCUGCACCUUUAGAGGUUUUUGACCCAUCGAAUUACAACACCCAAGGUUUUAACUCGAACGAAUUGAUUUCUAGUUCGAUUUCUUCAGGUAUGUCAAGGCAUGGUUGAUCGGCUAGAAAGUUAGCCAAAACCUGAUUUUUGACUGCCUUUUGAGGUAUAUAUUGUAUUUUGAACUCUGAUAAAGUUAGUGUCCAAAGGCCUACCCGUUGGUGUAAAAUAGGGCGCGAGAACAUAUACUUAACUAAAUUUACUUUAUAAAUUAAAUAAACGGUUACGGGCUGUAAAUAAGCCCUUAAUUUUAUACAUGUGAAAUACAGUGCAAGACACAAUUUUUCAACAGCAGAGUAAUUACAUUCACAUUUCGUUAACCGUCUACUUAAGUAGUAAAUUACCCUUUCUUCACCAAAUUGGUCUUCCUGUGCGACCAUUCCAGCUAUUGAUUCUUUUUCAGCCGAUACAUACACUUUCAUUGGCCGUCCUUGGAUUGGUGACACCAACACUGGUGGAUUUGAUAGAUAUGUCUUCAGGCUUUCAAAAGCCUUUUGAUGUUCUUCUUUCCAGACGAAUUCGUCCUGAUUUUUCAGCUUUAAUAGCGGCGAAAAGAUUUUAGUUCGCCCUGCAUAGUUAGAAAUAAAGCGUCUUAAAAAUUUACUUGGCUUAGAAACCUUUGCAACUCCUUUUUGUUGCUAGGUGGUUUGACUUCUAAGAUAGCCUUCGCUUUAUUUUUAUCAAGUUCAAUCCCUCUCUUGUGUACUAAGAAACCAAGAAAAUUCCCUGUAUUAACAUCAAAUGCACACUUCAAGGGAUUCAACUUUAGCUUAUAUUGCCUCAUUCGUUCAAACGAACAUCUUAACUGUUCGAAAUGGUCUUCUUCUUUAAUGGACUUGACUACUAUGUCGUCUACAUACACCUCAACAAACUUGCCUAUCAUAUCAUGAAAGAUUAAAUUCAUUGUCCUUUGAUAAGUUGCCCCUACAUUUUUUAGGCCGAAAGGCAUAACCACCCAUUCAAAACAUCCUAGAGACCCAGGGCAUCUAAAGGCAGUUUUGUGUAUGUCUUCUUCAGCUAUAUAAAUUUGAUUGUAUCCUGAAUACCCAUCCAUGAAAGAAUACAUGAUAUGUCCGGCAGUUGAAUCUACUAAAGAAUCCACCGUGGGCAUUGGAUAUUUAUCUUUAGGUGUAGCUAUGUUUAAACUCCCAAAGUCUAUACACACCCUUAGUUUACCAUUCUUUUUUAGUACUGGCACAAUAUUCGACAACCAUUCAAUAUAUCUGGCUGUUCUUAUAAAACCUGCUUUCAAUAAUCGCUCUAUCUCUUUCUUAAUCUCAGGGAAUACAUUAGGAGCAAAAUACCUAGGAGAUUGCCUAUGAGGUUUAAAAUUAGGCUUAGUUGGUAACCUAUUUCCACCAAGUCUCUAUCUAAACCAAGCAUUUGUUCAUAUUCCCAAGCAAAACAAUCUUUGUACUCUUUUAACAAAGCGAUUAAUUUGUUACUAACCUCUUGGUCGAGUAUCUGGCUAAUGAACGUUGGGUGAUCUUCUCCUUCAUCGCCAAUAUUUACUUUGAUCAGAGGGUCUUGUGCUUGAGCGUAUCCAGGUUUGGCAAUCCGCAUCACUUCGUCGUCUAGUUCUUUUGUAAGUACUUCCUCCUCCAAACAGUCCACCUUGUUGACUUCUCGGCCAAUGCUUUGCUCUAACUCGAAUACUGACAACUUGUCCUUCAGCGCUUUUAGGGCAGUCUCUUCCUUCGCCUUGUUACUGCAUUCCUUAUUGAAAGCCAUCAGUCUGGCUUUGAAGGCUUGAAUGUCGGCCAUUUGCUUUUGUAACUUAAAGUCCAUUCAAGACUCCUUAAUUAUUCUUUUGCCAAUUACUGGCUCUUCUAGGGCCACUAUAUUUGGCCUCAUCUGUUUGAACAUCUUAGUGAGUGCGUCCACUGAGAAUGGUUCUUCGCUUUGCGCGACGACCUGAGUUUCUUCCCCGUCUUGUACCACUCUGACAGGUCCAUAGUUUCCUUCGUACAUGAACUUUUCCACCGAAUUUGCUUCUGCGACAAAAGGCCUAUGAUCGGCUUGUACCACCUCUGCUUCGCCUUUGUCAUUCCAAAAGAUCAGGCAUUGAUGGAGCGACGAGGGUAUACAGCGACUUCCGUGUAUCCAAUCUCUUUCUAGGAGCACGUUGUAACUAGUAGGACCAUCUAUUACAAAGAAGACGGUGGUCCUAGUAGUCGUAUCUAUAGUUAUGUAUAAUGGCAUAACUCCCUUAGCUGAAAUUGCUCCUCCAUUGAAGCUAGUGAGGAUGACUUCUGUAGGAAUCAUGUCACCCUCUGUUUUUGCGAACUUUCUCAUCAUCCUAGAUGGAAUGGUGUUUAUAGCCGCUCCAUUGUCGACAAGCACUUUUGCCACUGGGACGCCAUUAACUAGAGCUUUAACGUAUAAUGGCCUCAAGUGUUUAGUCAAUUUCAUGGCUGGCCGUUUAAAAAUAACCUUUUCAGCAGCCUCUAUUUCUACCUCUUGCUUGUUUUCUGUCGAAUUAUCCCCCUGUGAUAAGUCGACGUGUAGUAUAUCACGCUGAUCCUUUGUUUCCUGAACUUCCUUCUUACUUUUUUCUAAUGCUUCCUCAUCAGUUAUCCAACCUGUGGGAGGGGGCAUUAUUCUUGGAGGUGACCUAUACUUUUCAGAGCGAGGCACUCUCUUCUUCCUUUUGGGUGUCCCGUACAGUACGUAGAAAUCGAAAGGACGCCCAGAUGGCUCCCCCAACAAGUCUACUUCGCGAACUCCCUCUUGAUGUAGUUGCUUAAGCAGAGUAUUGCGCGAUAUUCCUCUCUUUUUCCUUUCUGCUUCUAGAUCGAUUUCUUCUUCAAUGUCCGUCAUCCCAUCGUCUUCCUCGUCAUUGUAGGCCUCUCCAGAAGUUUGGCCUUCUUCACAUACUAACACGCAGGCUUCUCCUUCGUUGUCCUCCCUCUCUUCUUCCUUUUCCUUAUUCUUGAAUUCAUUGACCAGUAGAUAAUUAUUGGCCAUAACAGGAGGCAACGUACCGAAUUGGAUAGCAAGUGGCUGAUCUGGAUCUUCUUCAUCCCUCUUGUCCCUCUCAAACCUUGAUCUCCCAGAAGAGGUUUCUGGCAGUUCCUUCAUUGAUUCAUCUGUACCGAUUUCUUUACUACUUUUGACGACGUUUUGAUUGGCUACCCUGAGUAGUAUAGGCGCUUUAGGAUGUGUCAUUCCUUGUUGCUGCCUCAUCAUCCAUCCGUAGUUUCGUUGGAAACGCCUUUGUUGGGUCCUAGUCAUCUUAUCGAAGGGUAUUGCCCUUCCUGCACUGUACUGAAAUGAAUGCCAUACAUUUGGCCGGCGAGCUUACGGCCUAAAUGUUCUUCCAGUAUCUGCUGGUCUGAACUGCCUUUCAAAAGGCGGUCCUCUAUAGAAUGAUGUACCUCGCCCUCUACCAGGCUGAAUGUUUGGGAAGAAGGCAGGGCGAUGAGGAUGCUGCCAUGUCCCUGGUUUCUCCAUGUUUCCAUUUACUUCUCUUUUACACCUUGCACACAGGACGUCUUCGUCCUUUUUUGGUUCUUUUCCCUUGAUUCGUUCAAAUACGCUGGGAUGUGGUCUAGGAUCUUCUUCUCCGUCAUCUACGACCAAGUUGAAUUUUGGUAACUUGUUCUUGAAUCCAGAUGUUACCAUAUUUACUCCAAGUGGCUGUGGGAAAGGAUUCUCGUCCACUGCCAUCUUUUUCUUAUCAUCGAACGUAAUUUGUCCUAAUUCAAUGGCAUCCUGCAAUACAUGACGGAAAACCAAGCAAUUGUUAGUCAAAUAUGACCAUGCAUUAUGCCACUUACAAUAUUUUUUACCCUUAAUUUGUUCAGGGUUUGGCAAUUUGUGCUUAUCGCUCAACUUUAUCUGCUUAUCCCUAUAUAAUUUAUCGAAUAUAAGGUCAGCUUUGAUCACGUCGAACGAGAACGCUCUAGCCUUUACGUUUCCAUCCUUUAUGGGCUCAUCUCUGCCCGAUGGUCUAGGCUUGGCCAUUAUGGGACAAGUAUAUGUAUCCCCUUUGACCAAUUCGGCCAAAUACAUUUCGGCCUGAUCGUAUGACUCAUCGUCGAUGGUAUGAACGUCGAAAUUUGGGUCUUUGUAAUAAGUCCCUUUACUAGAAUUUUUCAUUUGUUCUUCCUCUCUUAUCAGUCACUCAUACCUAAUCACAUUUGCACUCAACUGGAAAAGAUCAGGAAAUUCCUUGUCCUGGAACUUCUUUUUUAAAUCAAAGCUCAAGCAGCCCUGAGCGAUCUUGACAAAUUCUUUUUCGGACAGAGGUACAAAACACUUGCUCCUUGCUGUCUUGAACCUUUGGAGAAAACUUUCUGCUCAUUCAUUUGGCAUUUGACGUAAAUUCGCCAAAUCGGUCAAAGUGACUUCAGACUCAGUUUUAUAAAAUUGAGCGUGAAACAACUGUUCUAAUUGUUGCCAUGUUUGAACAGAGUUCGCUGGCAAGUUGAUGAACCAGGAGAAAGCUACUCCUGUUAACGAACUAGGGAAAAGCCUCAUUUUAUGGUAGUCGGUUACAUCACCACUCUGCAAUGUGAAUCGCCCUAUGUGUUCUAGAGUAGACACCUUUCCUAAACCGGUAAACAGUAAGAAUUCUGGUGGCCAUGGAUAUGCUUGGUCUACCCAAUCAGGAUACGGCUUUGUGUACAUUGGCCUGAUGACGGGACGUACCCCAAAAGCCAUCUGAUCCUGUACGAUUUCCAUAAUCUGGUUCCUCAACGUGGCGUUGGGGUCAUAUGGAAUUCCUACAGGCUAAUUAACCGGUUGAUUUGCAUGAAGCCUGAUGUUUGGUCCUUGAUUGGCAACAAAAUUAUCAUAAUUAGGGUCAUUACCAUUAGCCUGAACACCUGUUCCUUCAUUAACACGUGGGGUCUGCUGUCCAUUGUUUAGGACAUUAUCUCUUAUGUUUGGAUUACCCCCCAAGUUAGGCAUACUACUAUCAUUGUUCUGAUUUGGCAUUGUAGUACCUCCUUGGUUUGAAGUAGAGGGAUUAGAAAGCGGUUCGACCCCUUGACUCGGAUUUAGGAUCGAGGGACUAUGUCCCACAAUUGUCCUAGUUUGAAAGUGGUUUGUAAGAGGUAUAGCCGGUUGACAUAUUUGGCCUACUAACUUAUUCAUUGUCUCGUUCAAUGUCUUUAGUUGUUUGGCCAUGUUAUCAUAGUGCAUAUUCCCAUUUUGAGUAAAUCUUUCCAUAUUAUGAAUACUUCGAAGAUUUACCUGUUCAACGACGUCUUGCGUGAGUUCUCCAAGUAAUGCUCGCAUGGUUCGAAGACUCAACUCCGUCAUUAGUUCAUAACGACUGUUACUGCUCUGGUUCUGUCCAUCUGUUCGUGGAGAGGCAUGCUGCUCCUCAUAUCGCUCGAUCACAGACUGGAUUCCUCCCUGACUUGCUACUUCCUUAUUGGAUCUCUGAGGCAUAUUGUUUUCCCUUUUGUACUUUCAACACCUAACACCACUAUCCCACUGGGCGUGCCAAAUUGUUUCGCGCGAGUUAGUAGCUAACAAUUAAAAAGGAUCAGACGAUUGUGUAAGGGACGAAACCUCUUGAGACAAAGUCCCAAAAAGGGGUGUUCUUUUAUUGGUGAUGAACUUUACAAUUGGAAAAGAAAGACAACGUGCCUCCAAGGGGCGCAAGCACACGAGUUACUGAAAGAAAAGUGCUUAAGUCUAAAAACUAAGGAAAUGAAAAUUACAUAUUCUCUGUUCGAGAGUUUUGGAUUCGGUCCUUUGCUUCUAUGUCCUUUCUCCCUUUUAUACUUUAUAGACGAUCUCUUUGUGAUCAACUACUUUAAAAACUGCUUGAUCGUCCUAUAACUGCCCACUUUCUUCGUAAUGGCCACCUUGUUAUGAAAACUGCCUUUUAACUGCUGUCAUUACCCUUCAUCGUUCAACCGCUUUCGAUUGAAUUCCUUGAAUUGUGGAACGUGAUAGAGCUGGUUUAAUAACUGCUUUGAUAACUGCACUUCUUGAUAACCACGACGCGUUAUGUUUGUUAAUACCUUGGGCGACUUGAAAGUUUGGGCGAGAAUAGAGUAACAGUUCUGGACAACCGUAUGACACUCUAUUCGUUCAGAUUCUGGGCGACUUGCAAACUUGGGCGAUGGCGUUACCGCAUUCUUGGGCCUCCUUAUUUGGGCCUUCAUCUUGAUUUGUUCGAUUGGGCUUCGUUCUUUGGGCUAUCUGAUUUGGGGAUCCUCCAAUUGGGCUUCACUCAUUGGGCUGUUCGAUUUGGGCUGAAUUUUUAUGUGUCAACAAUACUAUACAUCAUUGCAAUGCUAAUCUUUAAAGUUGAAAUCCCCAGAUUUCAUUUUUUGUUUUUACACCAAAAAUUGUGCAACAUAGAACUGGAGAUUAAGAAUUCGAAGAAUAAUGUUUUGUAAAAAUGUAUUUUUGCAUAUUAGAGAACUUAAAUCAUUUUAAGGUAUAUUACAGAAUAAUGGGCAGAUUUGUGUUUUUUUAGUAGUUUGGACAGAUUAGCAUCUUAGCAUUUUGAUAUACUGUUGUUAAGUUUUAUUAGUAAAUUGAAUUGCUCCUUCUAAUUUCGAAUGUUAAUUUGUUGAUGUCCACUCCCCAACAUUCAUUAUAUUUGUGUUACUUAUAGUAACCAGGGGCGGAUCUAGAUUCAAUCUUCAGUUAGGGCGGUGAUUGACUUUGACCGUUGACGAUCAACGAUUGUAAUAGCUCGAUCGUUUAUUCAAAUUCGAUUAAAUACAAUAAAAAAUUGUUCAAUAUUUUGUAAAAUACUCCAAUUUUAUUUUCAAUUAGAAUUGAUCAAAAAUCACAAUUCUCUGUAAUAACUCCUAAUUUGGUUUUCUAUAUGAAUUGAAGAUUGAUUCACUAACUAAUUAAUAAAUAAUACGUAUAAUUAAAACACAAAAUACAUCAUUGCAUAUUUGCAUCAAAGUACAAACAAUACUCAAAGCAAUUAUCAACAGACACUCAACAAUCAACACACUUCACUCAACAAAUCAAUAGACAACAAUUCAACAGUCAACAAAGGGUUUGCAACAAAAAGAAUUCAACAUUCAACCAAAAAAAUUCAAGUAUUCAACUCACCCACGCUGCUUGUUCGGCCUCGAUUGUCCCUGACUUCGCACAAUCGCACCAGUUUGCACACGGUCCACCAUCCACAACUGCUCGCACAGUCGCACUCGUACUUCCCACCCAUUUCAUUCGCAGGCGCCGCAGCUACUGCUUC
rnacentral:lncRNA from 1 species